UGGAAUCUAUAAAACACAAAACUCUAGGAGAUCAGACUACCUUUGUUGCAGAAAGCUGACCUGAGUAGAGAUGCUGCUGCAAAAGGUGGAGCAAAGAUGUAUUAAAGAACUGCAUGAAAGGCUGUGAGGAGACUGGCAGGGCUAGCAAAAGCUCACAUUAUUAGUGGAGGAGACAGGGAGAAGCAUACUGGAAAAGAUGAAUGCGCAGUCUUGCACAGGUGACUUUUAUUUUAACAGGUUCCUUACACUCUGUUAAGUAGGAAGUAGUAGAUAAACUCAAGCCAGGGACAUGACAGUGCGCUGCAGAGAUGACCUUUCUAGCUCCAUUUGCUGUGUACUGCAGGGAGAGGUGUAUGUCUGAUCUGGGAUAUGAAUGCUAUUGUAAUAAAGACGAGAGAUGCAGAGCCCUUGAUACAAUGGCUAUAGGAACAAAGACCUUGUGAACACUGGGUGUGGAGAAAAAUUAAGUUUGUCCACAAAUUGGAUGGAUGAAGUAAGACAGAGAGGAAUUGCAACACCUAAGCCACACAGGGCUGGCUGUGGAGUCUACCAGAAAAUCAGUGAGCAGUAAGCAUACAAAAGAUUAAGAUUUCAUUUUUAUCCAGUAUUUUAAUUAAUGGCAAGAUGUGCAAGAGGGAGCAUGUAUUCAGGAUACCAAAUACAGUCUGACCCAGCCCAGCCCGUCUUUUCCACAAAACAUUGCGUUUCACUGAGCACUCGCUGCUGUGCUGUUUCAUCAGACACGCCGCUCUGGUGCGGAUCAUAUGAUAUGGCAGCCGCUCAGGCAGGCGGGGAGCAGCGCAGCCUGUCAUUUCCUGCUCAUAUGUAACUGGGUGGGGAAGCGCCUGAUCCUUGGGGCCAGCAGGAUCCAGGAAUUCAUCUACUGGUGCCAGCAAGAAAGCACUGACCCAAACAAGGGAGCCAGAACUUGGACUGCAGUCCUUGCCAGGGAUCAGCGAGAGGCCAGAGAGACCAUGCUGCUGAGUCAUCACCGCUCCAGCUGCUACAAGCCUUUUCUGGGGACGCGGCUGUUGCUAAGAUUCCUGGGAGCUGACUGA
rnacentral:lncRNA from 1 species